rnacentral:rRNA from 1 species
GAUGAACGCUGGCGGCGUGCCUAAUACAUGCAAGUCGAGCGAACAGACGAGGAGCUUGCUCCUCUGACGUUAGCGGCGGACGUGUGAGUAACACGUGGAUAACCUACCUAUAAGACUGGGAUCACUUCGGGAAACCGGAGCUAAUACCGUAUAACAUGUUGAACCGCAUGGUUCAACAGUGAAAUACGGUUUUUCUGUCACUUAUAGAUGGAUCCCCGCCGCAUUAUCUAGUUGGGACGGUAACGGGUUACCAAGGGAAGGAUGCGUUGCCGACGUGUGAGGGUGAUCGGCCACCCUGGAACUGAGACGCGGUCAAUGCUACUACGGGAGGGCGCAGUAGGGAAUCUGAGGCAGUGGGGGAAAGCAUGACGGAGCAACGCCGAGCGAGUGAAGACGGUCUUCGGAUCGUAAAACUCUGUUAUUAGGGAAGAACAAAUGUGUAAGUAACUAUGCACGUAUUGACGGUACCUAAUCAGAAAGCAACGGCUAACUACGUG